rnacentral:rRNA from 1 species
UACGAAGGGGGCUAGCGUUGCUCGGAAUCACUGGGCGUAAAGCGCACGUAGGCGGCUUUCCAAGUCAGGGGUGAAAUCCUGGAGCUCAACUCCAGAACUGCCUUUGAUACUGGAGAGCUUGAGUCCGGGAGAGGUGAGUGGAACUCCGAGUGUAGAGGUGAAAUUCGUAGAUAUUCGGAAGAACACCAGUGGCGAAGGGCGGCUCACUGGCCCGGUACUGACGCUGAUA